CUCUGUGACUCCUACGGGAGGCAGCAGUGGGGAAUAUUGCACAAUGGGCGCAAGCCUGAUGCAGCCAUGCCGCGUGUAUGAAGAAGGCCUUCGGGUUGUAAAGUACUUUCAGCAGUGAGGAAGGUGGUGCAGUUAAUAGCUGUAUCAUUUGACGUUAGCUGCAGAAGAAGCACCGGCUAACUCCGUGCCAGCAGCCGCGGUAAUACGGAGGGUGCGAGCGUUAAUCGGAAUUACUGGGCGUAAAGCGCAUGCAGGUGGUUUGUUAAGUCAGAUGUGAAAGCCCCGGGGCUCAACCCUCGGAAUUGCAUUUGAAACUGGCAGACUAGAGUACUGUAGAGGGGGUAGAAUUUCAGGUGUAGCGGUGAAAUGCGUAGAGAUCUGAAGGAAUACCGGUGGCGAAGGCGGCCCCCUGGACAGAUACUGACACUCAGACUGCGAAAGCGUGGGGAGCCAAACAGGAUUAGAUACCCCUGGUAG
rnacentral:rRNA from 1 species